GGGGAAUAUUGCGCAAUGGGCGAAAGCCUGACGCAGCGACGCCGCGUGAGGGAUGAAGGUCUUCGGAUCGUAAACCUCUGUCAGGAGGGAAGAAGUGAGUUCGUGCUAAUCAGCGGGCUCUUGACGGUACCUCCAAAGGAAGCACCGGCUAACUCCGUGCCAGCAGCCGCGGUAAUACGGAGGGUGCAAGCGUUAAUCGGAAUCACUGGGCGUAAAGCGCAUGUAGGCUGUUGUAUAAGUCAGGGGUGAAAGCCCACCGCUUAACGGUGGAACUGCCCUUGAUACUGUAUGACUUGAGUCUGUGAGAGGGUAGUGGAAUUCCAGGUGUAGGAGUGAAAUCCGUAGAGAUCUGGAGGAACAUCAGUGGCGAAGGCGACUACCUGGUGCAGUACUGACGCUGAGAUGCGAAAGCGUGGGGAUCAAAC
rnacentral:rRNA from 1 species